GGGCGCGAUCAUACCAGCACUAAUGCAUCGGAUCCCAUCAAAACUCCGAAGUUCAGCGUGCUUGGGCAAGAGUAGUACUAGGAUGGGUGACUUUCUAGGAAGGCCUCGUGUUGCACCCC
rfam:Eucalyptus grandis cultivar BRASTZ1 unplaced genomic scaffold scaffold_755, whole genome shotgun sequence.